GAAGGAAGGAAGGAAGGAAGGAAGGAAGGAAGGAAGGAAGGAAGGAAGGAAGGGUGGGUUUAUUUUGGCUCGGGGCUCUGGCAGGGAAGGCGUGGCUACAGGCGCGAGUGCAUGUGUGUGUGUAUGUGUGUGUGUCUGUGUGUGUGUCUGUGUGUGUGUGUGUGCGUGUGGCAGUUGGUGAAGCUGCACCUACAGUCAGGAAACCGAGAGGAGAAACAAGGGCUCGCUCAGUUGCUGCUCACCUUCUGAGUCACUCCAGAGCCCCAGUCAUGGAACGAUGCCAGCCACAUCCCAGGUGGGUCUUCCCCAGCCGCGCGUUAGCUGAAUCUGAAAAACCCGUCACAUGUGCCUGGAAGUCUGCUUCUAUGGUGAAUCUAAGAGCCACCGACGACGGAGCAAGAUGCUACAGCACAGCUCCCCUUUCUUGCCAAGGAGGACAACAAAAAGCCACCGAAGGAGACGGUAGCACCAAGGCAGGCACAAUCUUCAGAAGAUAGGUUUGAUGGACACCUGCUAACAGUUUCUUAUCAUCUUUGCACAACUAUCCAUCCCAACUGCCAGAGGACAAAACAGGGCCUGGACUGGAAUUCUUGAAUAAGGGGGGAUGGGGAAAGAAAUAAAAAGCAAAAGAAAGGACAUGACUGUGCCUAGGUAUGGAGAAAGAGAAAGUUUAUUGUAGAUAUGAGAAAGAACAUAGCCAGAGACAGAAACAUCUGGGAGAAUCCAGAGUGCUCAUGAUCCUGAGCCCUGUAGAGAAAUGGGGAGGGAAGGGAGAGAGGGGAG
rnacentral:lncRNA from 1 species